AUAUUGUACAAUUGUGGCAACCCUGAUCCAGCCAUGCCGCGUGUGUGAUGAAGGUCUUCGGACUUUAAAGCACUUUCAGUUGGGAGGAAGGGCUUUCUGUUAAUACCCUGAAGUUUUGACGUUACCAACAGAAUAAGCACCGGCUAACUCUGUGCCAGCAGCCGCGGUAAUACAGAGGGUGCAAGCGUUAAUCGGAAUUACUGGGCGUAAAGCGCGCGUAGGUGGUUCAGUAAGAUGGGUGUGAAAUCCCCGGGCUUAACCUGGGAACUGCUUUCAUAACUGCUGAGCUAGAGUACGGUAGAGGGUAGUGGAAUUUUCUGUGUAGCGGUGAAAUGCGUAGAUAUAGGAAGGAACACCAGUGGCGAAGGCGACUACCUGGACUGAUACUGACACUGAGGUGCGAAAGCGUGGGGAGCAAAC
rnacentral:rRNA from 1 species